rnacentral:rRNA from 1 species
ACGGGAGGCAGCAGUGGGGAAUAUUGGGCAAUGGGCGAAAGCCUGACCCAGCAACGCCGCGUGAAGGAAGAAGGCCUUCGGGUUGUAAACUUCUUUUACCAGGGACGAAGGACGUGACGGUACCUGGAGAAAAAGCAACGGCUAACUACGUGCCAGCAGCCGCGGUAAUACGUAGGUUGCAAGCGUUGUCCGGAUUUACUGGGUGUAAAGGGCGUGUAGCCGGGUCGGUAAGUCAGAUGUGAAAUCUACGGGCUCAACUCGUAAACUGCAUUUGAAACUGCUGAUCUUGAGUAUCGGAGAGGCAAUCGGAAUUCCUAGUGUAGCGGUGAAAUGCGUAGAUAUUAGGAGGAACACCAGUGGCGAAGGCGGAUUGCUGGACGACAACUGACGGUGAGGCGCGAAAGCGUGGGGAGCAAACAGGAUUAGAUACCCUGGUA